rnacentral:lncRNA from 1 species
GGAUGGCUGAAGUAAGGUGGAGGAAUGGUUUAGCAAUGUAGGACAAGAGAGGAUAGCAUAGUGUAGGGUGUAGGGAAGGAUAGGUUAGUAUGUAAGGUAGGAUAGUAGGAUAUAUAAUAAGUUAGGAUAGUUUACCAUAGGCCAGGAUAUAAGGUAGGAUCGUAGGAUAUAUAAUAAGUUAGGAUAGUUUACCAUAGGCCAGGAUAUAAGGUAGGAUAGUAGGAUACUUUUGUCCCUGAGCUGUACCAGCAGGACUCUAUCCCAUGAUGGAUUGGUUCAUUGUUGUGUUCCGUGCCAGCUGCAGUGAAGGCUAAGAUGGCCACCGACGUGGUUAUUUUGAUUUCUAGGCCAUGAGGGUCACUUUCUCUUGGGAACCAGCAAGGCUUCCUCCUCCUCCACUACCAGGCCAAUGUGUAGCAGAGGAGCAGCUCUGUCCAGACCAGAGUAGAGCGACAGAGACUAUUUUUUUCUCUGCCAGCGAGCCGCCCCUGGGACCUGGGGUGUCUGGGGUCUGGAUGAGGGACAGAGAGGGAGAGAGAGAAAGAGGUACAUGAGGGAACGUCCUAAAAGCAUUUCCUCCACUAGAUGGCAGUACACUUUUACAUGCUGGAUGCUCCCCUCCCUCCCAUGGCCAAGGUCAGUGGGUCGGCGGACACGCUCUGAGCGUCCCCUCUCUCUCUCUAUCUCUCUCUCUCUAUCUCUCUCUCUCUCUCUCUCUCUCUCUCUCUCUCUCUCUCUCUCUCUCUCUCUCUCUCUCUCUCUCUCUCUCUCUCUCUCUCUCUCUCUCUCUCUCUCUCUCUCACACACACACACAUAUAUAGAUACACAUACACAAACAGUGUACACACAUAUACACAAAACUCAUUCUCAAGAAAUCCUUCCUUGACCGAAACCAAAAACCUAAGCCCUGAGCGUGAGUGAGUGAGUGAGUCUGUUAUUUACAGCGUUGGCGGUUGAUGUACGAGAAGUCUGGUGUCUUUCGAAAACAAGUCAUCAUUUUGAUUUGGGACGCCACAGGGGGAGAGCAACAGCCUGUCUCUCUCCCGCUGAAAUGUUUACCCCUACAGAGGUCAUGCAGUCAGCAUUUAAAAUAAGAUACACACACACACACACAGAGAUACACAUAGCAUAUGCACACACACACACACACACACACACACACACACACACACACACACACACACACACACACACACACACACACACACACACAC